rnacentral:rRNA from 1 species
UAAUAGCGUAUAUUAAAGUUGUUGCAGUUAAAAAGCUCGUAGUCGGAUUUCGGGCUCGGGCAGGCUGUCGGCCUCGGUCGGACGGCAGGCUCGGGCCUUUCUGCCUGGGGACUCCGUCACACUUAACUGUGGGGCGGUUGGACGCAGGCCGUUUACUUUGAAAAAAUUAGAGUGUUCAAAGCAGGCCUACGCUUGAAUACAUUAGCAUGGAAUAAUGGAAUAGGACUUUGGUGCUAUUUUGUUGGUUUAUGGGACCGAAGUAAUGAUUAACAGGGACAGUUGGGGCCGUUUAUAUUUCGUUGUCAGAGGUGAAAUUCUUGGAUUUACGAAAGAUAAACUUCUGCGAAAGCAUUCGGCAAGGAUGUUUUCAUUGAUCAAGAACGAAAGUUAGGGGAUCGAAGACGAUCAGAUACCAU